rnacentral:rRNA from 1 species
AUGUACUCUUAGAGAAAUUAAAUAAUAAACGAAGUGAAUUGAAAUAUCUUAGUAACUUCAGGAAUAGAAAUCAAACGAGAUUCUAUGAUUAGUGUGAAUGAAAGUAGAACAGCCUAAUAUAUAUAUAUAUCUUUAAAAUAUAUAACAAGUAAAACGGACGAAAUCUGUUUGAACAUAAGGGGAACCUUCCUCUAAGGCUAAAUAUAAUAUAUAAGCGAUAGCGUAUAGUACUGUGAAGGAAAG